UGAUGAGCUCUACUAUCAGUCCUGUG
rnacentral:piRNA from 1 species